AGAAGUGCAGCUGUCACAACAAGCGAGUGAGCGAGUUAGUGAGAGAGGCAAACACUGCUACGAGCCUACGUUGGUAAAACAUCUACAGAGGCAACGCCUCAGACUACUGGAUCUCCUCGCACAGGCCUAGCUCGUUUGUGUGGCGGGUGUUGUGUUCUGGUCUCCGCGGAGCUCGAGGGGCCCAAGUGAUGCCGCGUCACAUUCACGCCGGGUGAAAGACUUUAGUCUACAGGUUAUCCUACUUGUUGCUAUGGAGAUGGUCAUAUGAGAAGGUAGAAUGAUAAGUAGGAGUACAGUGGAGCCUUCAAGGUCGAACACAAUCCCUUCCAGUAAACUGCUCAACCUCCAAUUUCUUGCUCGGAUUGGGAAAAAAAUAUAUAUAUAAAACUUUGUAGGUGUACUGAAGAUUUGCCACUUCUGAGACUCUAGACUUAAGGAACUUCCACUGUAAUCAAGCACGUGAUGGUGUAAUAUCACUUCUGCUCUGUAGCAAAUAAUGAUC